AACGAACGCUGGCGGCAGGCUUAACACAUGCAAGUCGAACGCCCCGCAAGGGGAGUGGCAGACGGGUGAGUAACGCGUGGGAAUCUACCUAGUUCCACGGAACAACAGAGGGAAACUUCUGCUAAUACCGUAUACGCCCUAAGGGGGAAAGAUUUAUCGGAAUUAGAUGAGCCCGCGUAAGAUUAGCUAGUUGGUGGGGUAAUGGCCUACCAAGGCGACGAGCUUUAGCUGGUCUGAGAGGAUGAUCAGCCACACUGGGACUGAGACACGGCCCAGACUCCUACGGGAGGCAGCAGUGGGGAAUAUUGGACAAUGGGCGCAAGCCUGAUCCAGCCAUGCCGCGUGAGUGAUGAAGGCCUUAGGGUUGUAAAGCUCUUUCAGUGGGGACGAUAAUGACGGUACCCACAGAAGAAGCCCCGGCUAACUUCGUGCCAGCCGCCGCAGUAAGAC
rnacentral:rRNA from 1 species